CAGACACUUUUGAGGUGGGGAAUUUCCUUAAUGUGCCACUCCUGGGCUGGAUGGAGCAGAGAGCUUGGAAAGGAAAGUAAAAAGGCUGUGGGCUUAGUGCAGCUGCCAAUUUAGCAGAACUUUGAUUUGAAGCCUUUACCUUUGCACUUCAAAUGCUCUGUCUCCACCAAAGCAUUGAAGGGGAAGUUUCCUGAGAGGCUAUGGAAGCAACCAGGUCAUUGUGAUUUCUCAGCAGGAUCAUCCCAAGAAUUCUCUAUGGAAAACAGGAGAAAGCAAACUGAUUAAAGAAAAAAGCAGAGCUGCUUCUCUGAGAGAAGAAAAUCCUUCUUCCUAAAAACCACAGCAAGAACUGCACACCUGAAGAACCUCUGGCUGGGAAGGAGGAGAGUUUGGGUACAUGAGGACAGGCUUGGAGCUGGAAGAUGUUCCAAUUUGCUUCCACAUAGCAUCCUGACCAUUGGGAUAAUCUGAAAUCAACAUUUUUAACAUCAGCCUGGAUGUCUGAAACCUGCACUGGGCCAAGGAGGAGCUCCAGCACUUUGGUUUCAGGUUUCUGAUCACCUGCCACAGGAGAAUUAAUCCUGAUUUAUGCUGGUGUGAGUGACAGGAGAAAUGAGCUCAGUGGUUUUGGGGUAACAGCUGUUGAAAAUGUUUAUUUGUAAAUGGCUCUUUUCCUCAAGGCAUUGAAGCCUCUACUGCCCAGUUCCCUACAUAUUCACACCAGAAUAUGCAAGCACAAACGAGAGAGCCAAAGGAAAAACCUCUGCUCCAAAGGGUCACAGCUGGUGGCAUUUUCCAGCAGUUAAUUUAGCUAAACAGUCCAAAUUCCUUCCUGGACUGUUUCCCAUUUCCUGUUUGGACCUACUGGAACCUGCUCUGAACUGGGACCUGGAAACACCGAGAGAGAGUUUGCACCUUGUGGCUGCAGCAGCUGCCCCAGCACCAGAGGGACUGAUAAGAGAGUGACCACCCCAGGAGAGACUUUCUGAAUUUGGCAUCUUUUUCAGACUGGUGACAGAGUGGUGUCACCUGGUAUUGUUCAUUGUGUGUGCUGAGGGUGCUGUGCCCGGUAAAUAAACAGGUUUUUCCACUUCUCUCUGAGGAAUUCUUCCCAAACUGGUUGGGGCUGGGGGACGUGUGGGUUUGUUUUCUGGAGAGGCCCCCUUUUGGGGAUUCUCUCCCAAAUUUGCCCUAAACCAGGAAAACAUCUCGGACCAUUUCCACACUGUGCCUGCACAAACAGCUUUAACCUCUGCAGACAGGUUCCAGAGCACUUUUCCCUUCUCCCCGCUGCCUUUUGUAGCAAAGCAUGAACACUGUGCAGAAAAACCUUUGAGAGUCAGUGAAAAUUAGCAGAGGUUUUGUUUCAAACCCAAAUCCAAUCAACUGCACAUAAUUCUGAAGCUCCUUCAAAGGGUGUUUGAAAUAAAACAGUCACUCUUUGGCAAAACUCAGGCUAAAGCAGAUAAAAGUGCUAAAGCAUGGGAAUUCUAGUUCUUGAAAAUCAAAGCAAUCCUAUCUAACCAUUUAUGUCUUGAAAAAGAAAAUGUGUCAGCAUUUGCUAAAUGGUGUAUUUCUUCAACAGUGAGCAAAAUUUAUUUAAAGAGAGUAAUUACACACAAUCCUUUAUGCUGAAAGUAUAUGAUCCUGCUUUAAAUUGCUACAGGGUUCAGAAAUUCUAACAUAUCUACUUUUUCCUAAUAAUAUUAGCUUAUUUUGGUAAAAAAUAAAGACAAUCUAUAUUCCUUCAACCUACAUAAAGCACAGGAUUUCCUUUCUAUCUGAAAUCAUAGAUCACUUAUCUCAGUCUGUUGACUUCCAGGUGAAAAGAAUGACAGAAUGGUUUGGGUAGGAAGGGACCUUAAAGAUCAUCCCUGCCUUGGAGAGGGACAAUUUUCACUCUUCCAAGCCCCAUCCAGCCUGGCCUUGGACACUUCCAGGGAUCCAGGGGCAGCCACAGCUGCUCUGGGCACCCUGUGCCAGGGCCUCCCCACCCUCUUAUGGAAGAUAAGCACAGAAAACUGAAUAUGGAAAUUUAUUUCCUUCACUCCUGUACAACUGUGGCCCUCUAAGUCCAUUU